rnacentral:rRNA from 1 species
CCUACGGGAGGCAGCAGUAGGGAAUAUUGCACAAUGGGGGGAACCCUGAUGCAGCGACGCCGCGUGCGCGAUGAAGUAUUUCGGGAUGUAAAGCUCUAUCAGCAGGGAAGAAAAUGACGGUACCUGACUAAGAAGCCCCGGCUAACUACGUGCCAGCAGCCGCGGUAAUACGUAGGGGGCGAGCGUUAUCCGGAUUUACUGGGUGUAAAGGGAGCGUAGACGGAUGUGCAAGAGUGAAGUGAAAGGGAUGGGCUAAACCUGUUGACUGCUUUGGAAACUGUGCGGCUUGAGUGUCGGAGAGGUAAGUGGAAUUCCUAGUGUAGCGGUGAAAUGCGUAGAUAUUAGGAGGAACACCAGUGGCGAAGGCGGCUUGCUGGACGAUGACUGACGUUGAGGCUCGAAAGCGUGGGGAGCAAACAGGAUUAGAUACCCGUGUAGUC